AGAGUUUGAUCCUGGCUCAGGAUGAACGCUAGCGGCAGGCCUAAUACAUGCAAGUCGAACGGUGAUAGCAAUAUCAUAGUGGCGCACGGGUGCGUAACACGUAUGCAACCUACCUAUUAUUGGGGGAUAGCCUUUGGAAACGGAGAUUAAUACCGCAUAAUACGAUUGACUGGCAUCGGUUGAUUGUUAAAGCUUCGGCGAUAAUAGAUGGGCAUGCGUCCAAUUAGUUAGUUGGUUAGGUAACGGCUGACCAAGACGAUGAUUGGUAGGGGAUCUGAGAGGAUAAUCCCCCACACUGGCACUGAGAUACGGGCCAGACUCCUACGGGAGGCAGCAGUAGGGAAUAUUGGGCGAUGGGCGGAAGCCUGACCCAGCCAUGCCGCGUGCAGGAAGAAGGCGUUAUGCGUUGUAAACUGCUUUUUUAUAGGAAGAAGGAUCCCUUGCGAGGGAAGGUGACGGUACUAUAAGAAUAAGCACCGGCUAACUCCGUGCCAGCAGCCGCGGUAAUACGGAGGGUGCAAGCGUUGUCCGGAUUUAUUGGGUUUAAAGGGUGCGUAGGCGGUUUAUUAAGUCAGUGGUGAAAGACGGUCGCUCAACGAUUGCAGUGCCAUUGAUACUGGUAG
rnacentral:rRNA from 1 species